rnacentral:rRNA from 1 species
UACGUAGGCAGCAAGCGUUGUUCGGAGUUACUGGGCGUAAAGGGUGUGUAGGCGGUUCUUUAAGUCUGGUGUGAAAUCUCCCGGCUCAACCGGGAGGGUGCGCCGGAAACUGAAGGGCUAGAGUGCGGGAGAGGAGAGUGGAAUUCCUGGUGUAGCGGUGAAAUGCGUAGAUAUCAGGAGGAACACCGGUGGUGUAGGCGGCUCUCUGGACCGCGACUGACGCUGAGACACGAAAGCGUGGGGAGCAAACAGGAUUAGAAACCCGGGUAGUCC